rnacentral:rRNA from 1 species
AGUGAACGCUGGCGGUAGGCCUAACACAUGCAAGUCGAACGGCAGCACAGGAGAGCUUGCUCUCUGGGUGGCGAGUGGCGGACGGGUGAGGAAUACAUCGGAAUCUACUCUGUCGUGGGGGAUAACGUAGGGAAACUUACGCUAAUACCGCAUACGACCUACGGGUGAAAGCAGGGGACCUUCGGGCCUUGCGCGAUGGAAUGAGCCGAUGUCGGAUUAGCUAGUUGGCGGGGUAAAGGCACACCAAGGCGACGAUCCGUAGCUGGUCUGAGAGGAUGAUCAUCCACACUGGAACUGGGACACGGUCCAGACUCCUACGGGGGGCAGCAGGGGGGAAUAUUGGACAAUGGGCGCAAGCCUGAUCCAGCCAUAACGCGUGGGUGAAGAAGGCCUUCGGGUUGUAAAGCCCUUUUGUUGGGAAAGAAAUCCAGCUGGCUAAUACCCGGUUGGGAUGACGGUACCCAAAGAAUAAGCACCGGCUAACUUCGUGCCAGCAGCCGCAGUAA